AUUGAACGCUGGCGGCAUGCCUUACACAUGCAAGUCGAACGGUAACAGGUUAAGCUGACGAGUGGCGAACGGGUGAGUAAUGUAUCGGAACGAGCCCAGGCGUGGGGGAUAACUGCUCGAAAGAGCAGCUAAUACCGCAUACGACCUGAGGGUGAAAGCGGGGGAUCGCAAGACCUCGCGCGAUUGGAGCGGCCGAUAUCAGAUAGGUAGUUGGUGGGGUAAAAGCCUACCAAGCCAACGAUCUGUAGCUGGUCUGAGAGGACGACCAGCCACACUGGGACUGAGACACGGCCCAGACUCCUACGGGAGGCAGCAGUGGGGAGUUUUAGACAAUGGACGCAAGUCUGAUCCAGCCAUGCCGCGUGCGGGAAGAAGGCCUUCGGGUUGUAAACCGCUUUUGUCAGGGAAGAAAAGGGUGUUUCUAAUACAGACGCCUCAUGACGGUACCUGAAGAAUAAGCACCGGCUAACUACGUGCCAGCAGCCGCGGUAAAAC
rnacentral:rRNA from 1 species